rnacentral:rRNA from 1 species
UACGAGAGGCCCAAACGUUAUUCGGAUUUACUGGGCGUAAAGGGCGCGUAGGCGGCCACCGCAAGUCGACUGUGAAAUCUCCGGGCUUAACCCGGAAAGGUCAGCCGAUACUGCGGGGCUAGAGUGCAGAAGGGGCAACUGGAAUUCUCGGUGUAGCGGUGAAAUGCGUAGAUAUCGAGAGGAACACCUGCGGCGAAGGCGGGUUGCUGGGCUGACACUGACGCUGAGGCGCGAAAGCUAGGGGAGCGAACGGG